rnacentral:rRNA from 1 species
CACGGGGGUUGCGAGCGUUGUCCGGAAUUACUAGGCGUAAAGGGCAGGCAGGCGGAUCCAUAAGUUUAUCGUUUAAGGCGUCGGCUUAACCGGCGUAGGGCGGUAGAUACUGUGGAUCUGGAAUGCGGUUGGGGAAGACAGAAUUCCUGGUGUAGCGGUGGAAUGCGCAGAGAUCAGGAGGAAUACCGAAGGCGAAGGCAGUCUUCCAAGCCGUUAUUGACGCUUAACUGCGAAGGUGUGGGUAUCAAACAGGAUUAGAUACCCUGGUAGUCCCUGAG